rnacentral:rRNA from 1 species
CGUAGGCGGGACUGCAAGUCAGAUGUGAAAUCUGGGGGCUUAACCCUCAAACUGCAUUUGAAACUGUAGUUCUUGAGUAUCGGAGAGGCAGGCGGAAUUCCAAGUGUAGCGGUGAAAUGCGUAGAUAUUUGGAGGAACACCAGUGGCGAAGGCGGCCUGCUGGACGACAACUGACGCUGAGGCGCGAAAGCGUGGGGAGCAAACAGGAUUAGAUACCCUGGUAGUCCACGCUGUAAACGAUGAAUACUAGGUGUGGGGGGACUAACCCCCUCCGUGCCGCAGUUAACACAAUAAGUAUUCCACCUGGGGAGUACGGCCGCAAGGUUGAA